CUACCAUGCAGUCGAGCGGUAGAGAGAAGCUUGCUUCUCUUGAGAGCGGCGGACGGGUGAGUAAUGCCUAGGAAUCUGCCUGGUAGUGGGGGAUAACGUUCGGAAACGGACGCUAAUACCGCAUACGUCCUACGGGAGAAAGCAGGGGACCUUCGGGCCUUGCGCUAUCAGAUGAGCCUAGGUCGGAUUAGCUAGUUGGUGGGGUAAUGGCUCACCAAGGCGACGAUCCGUAACUGGUCUGAGAGGAUGAUCAGUCACACUGGAACUGAGACACGGUCCAGACUCCUACGGGAGGCAGCAGUGGGGAAUAUUGGACAAUGGGCGAAAGCCUGAUCCAGCCAUGCCGCGUGUGUGAAGAAGGUCUUCGGAUUGUAAAGCACUUUAAGUUGGGAGGAAGGGCAGUUGCCUAAUACGUAACUGUUUUGACGUUACCGACAGAAUAAGCACCGGCUAACUCUGUGCCAGCAGCCGCGGUAAUACAGAGGGUGCAAGCGUUAAUCGGAAUUACUGGGCGUAAAGCGCGCGUAGGUGGUUUGUUAAGUUGGAUGUGAAAUCCCCGGGCUCAACCUGGGAACUGCAUUCAAAACUGACUGACUAGAGUAUGGUAGAGGGUGGUGGAAUUUCCUGUGUAGCGGUGAAAUGCGUAGAUAUAGGAAGGAACACCAGUGGCGAAGGCGACCACCUGGACUGAUACUGACACUGAGGUGCGAAAGCGUGGGGAGCAAACAGGAUUAGAUACCCUGGUAGUCCACGCCGUAAACGAUGUCAACUAGCCGUUGGGAGCCUUGAGCUCUUAGUGGCGCAGCUAACGCAUUAAGUUGACCGCCUGGGGAG
rnacentral:rRNA from 1 species